rnacentral:rRNA from 1 species
CAGUAGCCGCGGGAAUACGGAGGGUGCAAGCGUUAAUCGGAAUUACUGGGCGUAAAGCGCACGCAGGCGGUCUGACAAGUCAGAUGUGAAAUCCCCGGGCUUAACCUGGGAACUGCAUUUGAAACUGUCAGGCUGGAGUCUUGUAGAGGGGGGUGGAAUUCCAGGUGGAGCGGUGAAAUGCGUUGAGAUCGGAAAGAACACCAACGGCGAAAGCACUCUGCUGGGCCGACACUGACACUGAGAGACGAAAGCUAGGGGAGCAAAUGGGAUUAGAUACCCGCGUAGUCCCUGUCUCUUAUAC